UUCAGCCAUGAUUCAAGAUUCUAAAACCUUGUGUUGCUGAUGUUUCAAUCAAGAAUUACCAAUCAGCUGGAACAGCAGUAAAAGGAUGUUACUUACCACACCUGUGAUGCAGUUAGCCUAGUGAAGAAGCCCCACAUCAGAAUAUCCCAGAGUUCCAUGUUUAGAACAACUCCUGAGAAGUGAGAGAUCCCUUGUUCAACUCUUUUCUACCUCUCUGACAGGUUGAUACGUCACUGCUGGAGCACUGUGCAACUACCAAAUUCUGUAACACAACCAAGGAAACAUUGCAAGGUUGUUCUUUUCCCCUUUGGUGAAGCCUCAUAGGAUGGAAAAUGCUGUUUUCAGUGGGAGUUUGCCUGAGUCAGAAAAAAACAAAAAACGGAGCAAGGACUUCAGGAUUUGACUCUGCACUCCUCAGAAUUAGUACCUGGUUGAAUUAACUUGAUAUUAUUAAUUAUUAUUUUUAUUAGAUUACAGAACACCUGUUAAGCAAACACUCACAUCAAGAAAACAGGUAGCAUUGUAAUAAUUGAGUGCCAUAAUUAUAUACAUGAGACUUUAAUUACGUUCACUUAGUUACUUGUUGACUUGUCAAAGCAGUUUGCUUAAUUUUACUGGGGACAUAGAGGUUUCCCCCCUGCCCUUGCCUCCACUCUGACCCUUUACA